GGUUCCGUGGCCUAAUGGCUAGGGCGCUAGAUUUCGGCGAUGCAUGGAUUAGUUAGUUAAAUUUCUAGCUCAUCUGGGCGAUAUCUGAUUCUCUAGAGAUUGUCGGUUCGAGUCCGGCCGGGAUCG